UUGUAUUGCGUUGCUAGAGGUGAAAUUCUUGGAUUUACGCAAGACAAACUAUUGCGAAAGCAUUUGCCAAGGAUGUUUUCAUUAAUCAAGAACGAAGGUUAGGGGAUCGAAAACGAUCAGAUACCGUUGUAGUCUUAACAGUAAACUAUGCCGACUAGGGAUCGGACGACCUCAAUAUUAUGCGUCG
rnacentral:rRNA from 1 species